UACGUAGGGUGCGAGCGUUAAUCGGAUUUACAGGGCGUAAAGCGUGCGCAGGCGGCCCGUUAAGACAGGUGUGAAAUCCCUGGGCUCAACCUAGGAAUUGCGCUUGUGACUGGCGGGCUCGAGUACGGUAGAGGGGGGUGGAAUUCCUGGUGUAGCAGUGAAAUGCGUAGAGAUCAGGAGGAACACCGAUGGCGAAGGCAGCCCCCUGGGCCUGUACUGACGCUCAUGCACGAAAGCGUGGGGAGCAAACAGG
rnacentral:rRNA from 1 species